AAACACUAUUAACUAAACUAAUUUGUCUUACUUUACUAAUACUAAUUAUGAAGAUAUAUUUUAUCUCCAGGUGAAUUACAAAAUGAUCAUUUUUUAUUGAUUUAAGACUUCCUUAAAAUAGUUCAUACAAAUCACUACAAAACUGAAUCAUAAUACCUAUAAGUAAAUGGCAAACACAUUUUCUUAACAUAACAAAAACUUAAAACUCAAGUCAAUCUUCAUAAAAUACGGUUAUGUGUAGAUAGUUUCAUCUUAUUGAACUGGUUUCUGAGUGGUGUUUGAGAGGAAUAGGCAGAGAAGACCUCCUCCUAUCAAUAAACCAGUUACGAUGAAGGUAGGUGCUGCACAGUAUAAGUCAAGUAACUGAGCAAUUACUAUGUUACCAAUUAUGCCACCAAGA
rnacentral:lncRNA from 1 species